rnacentral:lncRNA from 1 species
GCUGAUCCCUCCCUGCUGCUCCUGCUGCUGCUGGUGGAAGUUUGGGUUGGAUUUGGCUGCGGAAGAGCAGCUUCCCAGCCCAGCUGGCACCGCCUGCAGCGGCUGGGGGAGGAUCCGCAGGCAUCUCCUCCCUGGGGAUGGGAUGGGGAUGAGGAUGGGAUAGGAGGACACAGCUCUCAAGACACUGUACCCGAGUAAGGAGCAUCGGGAUGCUGCUCCUGAAGGAAGAGCAGAAGGGAGAAAGAAAAGGGUCACCUCGGCCUCCAGGUCCUGCUGCCCAUUCCCUUGGAUGGUUCCCAGGACAGGCUCCUUCCGUCCCUGGCUCUGCCCUUCGCCCUUCCACAUCCAGGGAAUUGCUGGCAAUUCGGAACAAAGCCCUCAACACGCUGAGGAGGAGAAAAGUGUCCGGGCACCUUGGCACAUGGGGGGUGGCACCAGGACAGAUCCUCCUGUUAAACCACUCUGCUGGUGCAAUGCUGAGAUGUUAUUGCAGACGAGUGACCGGGCCUGAGCAUUCCAAACGUCUGGCUAAUGAGGAAUGA